rnacentral:rRNA from 1 species
UGUUUCGGCAAGGGGGUCAUCCCGACUUACCAACCCGAUGCAAACUGCGAAUACCGGAGAAUGUUAUCACGGGAGACACACGGCGGGUGCUAACGUCCGUCGUGAAGAGGGAAACAACCCAGACCGCCAGCUAAGGUCCCAAAGUCAUGGUUAAGUGGGAAACGAUGUGGGAAGGCCCAGACAGCCAGGAUGUUGGCUUAGAAGCAGCCAUCAUUUAAAGAAAGCGUAAUAGCUCACUGGUCGAGUCGGCCUGCGCGGAAGAUGUAACGGGGCUAAACCAUGCACCGAAGCUGCGGCAGCGACGCUUAUGCGUUGUUGGGUAGGGGAGCGUUCUGUAAGCCUGUGAAGGUGUGCUGUGAGGCAUGCUGGAGGUAUCAGAAGUGCGAAUGCUGACAUAAGUAACGAUAAAGCGGGUGAAAAGCCCGCUCGCCGGAAGACCAAGGGUUCCUGUCCAACGUUAAUCGGGGCAGGGUGAGUCGACCCCUAAGGCGAGGCCGAAAGGCGUAGUCGAUGGGAAACAGGUUAAUAUUCCUGUACUUGGUGUUACUGCGAAGGGGGGACGGAGAAGGCUAUGUUGGCCGGGCGACGGUUGUCCCGGUUUAAGCGUGUAGGCUGGUUUUCCAGGCAAAUCCGGAAAAUCAAGGCUGAGGCGUGAUGACGAGGCACUACGGUGCUGAAGCAACAAAUGCCCUGCUUCCAGGAAAAGCCUCUAAGCAUCAGGUAACAUCAAAUCGUACCCCAAACCGACACAGGUGGUCAGGUAGAGAAUACCAAGGCGCUUGAGAGAACUCGGGUGAAGGAACUAGGCAAAAUGGUGCCGUAACUUCGGGAGAAGGCACGCUGAUAUGUAGGUGAAGUCCCUCGCGGAUGGAGCUGAAAUCAGUCGAAGAUACCAGCUGGCUGCAACUGUUUAUUAAAAACACAGCACUGUGCAAACACGAAAGUGGACGUAUACGGUGUGACGCCUGCCCGGUGCCGGAAGGUUAAUUGAUGGGGUCAGCGCAAGCGAAGCUCUUGAUCGAAGCCCCGGUAAACGGCGGCCGUAACUAUAACGGUCCUAAGGUAGCGAAAUUCCUUGUCGGGUAAGUUCCGACCUGCACGAAUGGCGUAAUGAUGGCCAGGCUGUCUCCACCCGAGACUCAGUGAAAUUGAACUCGCUGUGAAGAUGCAGUGUACCCGCGGCAAGACGGAAAGACCCCGUGAACCUUUACUAUAGCUUGACACUGAACAUUGAGCCUUGAUGUGUAGGAUAGGUGGGAGGCUUGGAAGUGUGGACGCCAGUCUGCAUGGAGCCGACCUUGAAAUACCACCCUUUAAUGUUUGAUGUUCUAACGUUGACCCGUAAUCC